rnacentral:rRNA from 1 species
CCUACGGGAGGCAGCAGUGAGGAAUAUUGGUCAAUGGCCGGAAGGCUGAACCAGCCAAGCCGCGUGAAGGACGAAGGUGCCAAGCAUUGUAAACUUCUUUUGUCAAGGGACAAAAUCAGGCUCGAGAGCCUGACCGAGGGUACUUGAAGAAAAAGCAUCGGCUAACUCCGUGCCAGCAGCCGCGGUAAUACGGAGGAUGCGAGCGUUAUCCGGAUUUAUUGGGUUUAAAGGGUGCGUAGGCGGACGGUUAAGUCAGCGGUAAAAUCCAGGGGCUCAACCCCGGCGAGCCGUUGAAACUGGUUGUCUUGAGAUGUCGAGAGGUAUGCGGAAUGCGCGGUGUAGCGGUGAAAUGCUUAGAUAUUGCGCAGAACUCCGAGUGCGAAGGCAGCAUACCGGCGGAGAUCUGACGCUGAGGCACGAAAGCGUGGGUAUCGAACAGGAUUAGAUACCCUAGUAGUC